CAAGCAUGCUGACUAUAAAAGGGCGUGCCGUGGGCAGCUCCGACCGGAAGCAACCAAAAAAUGACAAAAUGGCAACAAUGAAUAUUCUUGAGUCUUGCAAAAAGACGCCCUUGACAGUUAUAAUGCACAUUCUUUACAUUUUUACAUUCUUCUUUUGAUACGCCUUCUUCCGCUCUCUCACGAGAUAGUAGACACAAACUAAACAAAAAAUGGCUGUCAAAAGUUUAUUUCAAGACGUCUGUUCUCAACCUCAAAAGAAGCCAACUGGGGGUUCCACAGGAGCUAAAGUUCGAGACUGAAGAUACCAAGCAAGUCUUUGUAGGUAUAAUUGACAGUGCUAAUCGUUAUCUUGCUGCCAGAGAUGCAUUGGCCCAACAUAAGGAUAUGACAAACUGAUGCUGUUGUUGAAGAUGUGGACAUAAUAACUCAAUAACGAAGAGGAGAGUUGAAAGUCUGUAGGGAAGGAGCUUUGUAUAAAGUAACAAAGAGGAGAGUUGAAAGUCUGUAGGGAAGGAGCUUUGUAUAAUAUCUAUGUGCAGUUUGUUUGUUUAUAUAUACAGUCAUUAUGCCUCAGUUGGGCAUGUGCAAGGUAUACGAUAGUGUGUCUGUGUGUGUGUAGAUAGACUGUUACAGCUGCUCGAUGAUAAAUGAAGCUCGAAGAGUUUCUGUGUAAUUAUUGUAGGCUGCUAAUCAUAAUUAUUUCUUGAAUUGCAAUUAGUUGGGUUUGCAAAAUAAUGCCUAUUGUUAUGUUUGCUUACUUUGAAAGCUAGUACAACUUGUGUGUAGCAAAAUAGGGGAAUAACGAGAGAAUAAAGUAAAAUAAAAAGAAUUAAGCAUUAUCCACCAGGGCCGAUGAAUCCAUCUAAAAUGUUGUAAAUUAUAUGUACAGUGUGUUCAUUAAUAAUGGUACUGCAUGUAGCUUCAUUGCCUACACUGAGGCAUCAUCACCCUUUCAGUAACAUUCAUUUUUUUCCUCAGGUCGCGUUGAAGGACGCUUUGAAGGGCUGCGACUGCCUUUGCUUGUUGACAGUCUCCCUGGGUACACCAUCAACCUAUGUAGAAAAUCUCUUUGCUGGAGGCAGGAGAGCCUCACUGUCUGGUGGCAUGCACUCCACUUGCCCUAUUAAAAUGAAUCGAAUUUUCAGUGAAUUUCCACAAUGGCACAGUUUCACAGUUUCAAUGCCGUCUAUUAUGCAAGAAAGCAAGCUUCCUAACUCUUCCACAACGUUCCCUGGAGUAUGCUCACUGUAGCUGACUUGGAGCUGAAAAGAUUCCUUUAUUGUGCAUUGCCUUUUGCUGUAUCUAUACAUAAAGUAUUUGUCAGCCAUUUAUUUUAUUUUUUUGUUCUGCUUCUGGUAAAAAAGAAAAACUACCAAGAAUGUAUUUCCAUUCCCCCUUUGUGUAUAUUUUUUAGUGUUUACAGUG